GGGGGUGAAACGGUCUCGACAUGGUAGAACAAGUGGAGAGUGCAAGCAGUCAACCGUGACACAUGACUUGAUAGUGUUACAAAAAUUUAAAUGCCGAAGAUUUAAUUAUCUCAGCUCUGGAAGACACCUAUGGUGUUGAUCUAGAUGGGGCUUCUGACCGCCUUAUUACCCAAGGUCAGACUCCUGUUCAGUUAGCAGUAUAAAAACCAACUGACACACCCUUAAACGCCUGGUGCAGGGUUUAAAUAAGCCGGGAUAAUUUGCUUGUUUAUAUUCAAACAAGAUAAGCUUGUGAAUGACUUAAAAUGGAAACUAUUGUGGACGCGGGUUCGACUCCCGCCACCUCCACCA
rnacentral:tmRNA from 1 species